GUGAGCCACUGUUCCUGGCCUCUCAACUGUUUUUGAUUAGUGGCUCUUACUUUAAAAAGGACAAUUGAAGCAGUUUGAAACGAGCCUCGAGGAAGUGGGUAGAGGGGCUGUCACUCUGCUUAGUUUUCUCCACGCCGCGGGUUUCACUUCCUCUUUGCCAGAGGGCUUGGAGGGUAAGACUUCCAAAGUAGCUCCAGUUUCCACAGGACCCAUUAGGUGGGAUUCCUGUGAGUAGGAAGGGAGGUUUCAAAGCCUUCCGGAGAGACAAGAGCCCCACUGCACUCAGCCUGCCUUCCGGACAGCGCCCUCCUCCGUCCACCUGCCCUCCCCAAGGUCUCUCCGUACUUCUGGCCACUCUGUGAUGACGGCAACACAGAAGUCAAAAACCCAUCAACACGGGCGGCACGGGCCGAGAGGGAGUUGCUUCCGGGUUGGAAAGAAAGUCCCCAGGUGAUGCGGAAAAGAGAGGAGGAGGCGAACACCCUGCGGGCGCAUGUCCAGCUGCCCAGGGGCCCCCACGUGCCAGUUUCCCUGCACCCACUCCGGAUGGGCCCAGUCUCCGUGCCAGGGGGCACCCGGCAGUCUCCCAUCAACAUCCAGUGGAGGGACAGCGUCUACGACCCCCGGCUAAAGCCACUCAGGGUCUCCUAUGACGCAGUAUCCUGCCUGUACGCCUGGAACACUGGCUACCUCUUCCAGGUGGAAUUUGACGAUGUCACCGAGGCAUCAGGAAUUAGUGGUGGGCCCUUGGAAAACCACUACAGACUGAAGCAAUUUCACUUCCACUGGGGAGCAGUGAACGAGGGGGGCUCGGAGCACACAGUGGACGGCCAUGCGUACCCCGCCGAGCUGCAUUUAGUUCACUGGAAUUCUGUGAAAUACCAAAAUUACAAGGAAGCUGUCGUGGGAGAGAAUGGCUUGGCUGUGAUAGGUGUGUUUUUAAAGCUCGGGGCCCAUCAUCAGAUGCUGCAGAGCCUGGUGGACAUCUUGCCGGAAACAAAACAUAAGGACGCGCGGGCGGCCAUGGGCCCCUUCGACCCCUCCAGUCUGCUGCCAGCCUGCCAGGAUUACUGGACCUACGCAGGCUCACUCACCACCCCGCCGCUGACUGAGUCGGUCACCUGGAUCAUCCAGAAGGAGCCCGUUGAAGUGGCCCCAAGCCAGCUCUCUGCAUUUCGUACUCUCCUGUUUUCUGCACUUGGUGAAGAGGAGAAGAUGAUGGUGAACAACUAUCGCCCUCUUCAACCCCUGAUGAACCGGAAGGUCUGGGCAUCCUUCCAGACCACUAAUGAGGGCACAAGAUCCUUGAGACGUUAGGUCCACAUGAAUAGCAGAACUGACUUUGAAAGAAGGAAGCGUUGUUUCCCAGGUUUCACAAUGUGAUCGUACGUGACUUCUGAAAUUAAAAAGAGAGAAUGGGAUUAUUGCUUUAGUUGCUACACUUUUCAGCUGCAAGUGAAAGAAAGAUGUGGGCCAUUUGGGCAGAGACCAAGGGAGGACUGAACCACAUGGCUACAUGAGGGCAGAAAAUUCCAGGUAGAGGCUGGAGGCAGGAGUGCCCUUCGAUGUUCAAGGUACAGCCAGAGGGUGAGGGCAGCCAAAUGCAGGGGUGAGGAGAGAGGCCUGGGAGGCAAGGGUGGUUACUGGGGCACCACAGGCUGGGCGGAGACUUUGGAGCUGCUGCUGGGUUCUGAGCAAAGGGCGUUUUUAGUGGGGAGGCUAGGUUUGGCUGUGCUGCUAGAGUUUUCCAAAGUGGUCGUUCCUGUCCUUGCCACUGGGUCACGGUGUGCAUUCUGGAGGGUGUGCCCAGGUGUCUCCUGCGGAUUUCAUUUACACUUUCCUAAUGAUUAACCGUGAUGAGCAUUGUGUGCAGAUUCAUUGGCCAUCCGUCUCUCCUCUUUCACCAGAUACCUACUUGAGACAUUUGCCCAGUUUUCUCUUGGGCUGUCUGUGGUUUUCUUACUGAUUUUUUAGGAGUUCUUUAUAUAUUCCAAUUAUAAGACCUUUGCCUAUUUUACAAAUCUCUUCUCCCACUCUGGGGCUGCCUUUCACCCUUUCUUUUUUCCUUUUUUUUGUUUUUUAGACAGAGUGUCGCUCUGUCACCUGGGCUGGAGUCACUGCAACCUUCACCUCCCGGG